UACGGAAGGGGCAAGCGUUGUUCGGAAUUACUGGGCGUAAAGGGCGCGUAGGCGGCCUACUAAGUCGGACGUGAAAUCCCUCGGCUCAACCGAGGAACUGCGUCCGAUACUGGCAGGCUGGAAUCCGGGAGAGGGAUGUGGAAUUCCAGGUGUAGCGGUGAAAUGCGUAGAUAUCUGGAGGAACACCGGUGGCGAAGGCGGCAUCCUGGACCGGUAUUGACGCUGAGGCGCGAAAGCUAGGGGAGCAAACGGG
rnacentral:rRNA from 1 species